rnacentral:lncRNA from 1 species
UAUAAACAAGUCGACGUUUUCAACAAGUGAAGGUAAGUUGAUUUGUGAUAUUAUAUAAGUACAUAUAAUAAACAUUAUGCAGACAUUAAUUUGAGACAUAAUCUACCUUAUAUUUGUGUCAUACAAUUAUUUGAACUUUAUGAAGAGAAUCAAAUAUACUCAUAAACACUGCGUUACAUAUGAGACACACAUCGGAUGCAAAUUUGUAUAAUAACAUAAACGGUGCCAAUUUUCCUGCACAAGAUACGCAGUUCGACAAUACAUGUCUCUUCAGUGAUGCUCGUGGCCAAAUAUUUGAAAGUGCAUUAACAACACUUUAACCUUUGUUUACCCCUUUUAAAGAUCUAUAUACGUCAUUAAUCGUAAGAGUGUACUUCCUGUUUUCCAUAUUCUUAUCUUUGUUAUAAAAAACCCGAGUCUUUUCAAUUGGAGACUACACUCAAUAAUAGUUUUUCAAUAACUUUUCAAGUUAUUAUUUCACUUUAGUAUUACCAAAUUUAAAUUAUAAAAAGACAGGUAAAAACCAAAAGUCCAUUCUUUUUUUCAUAUAUCAUAUUUAUUCCUUUAAAGUAUUCUAAUUUUAGAAAGUAGUCUGACAGGUUUUUCAGUCUUCGUCGUAUCGUAUAAUAUUAAAUGUCUAAUAAUAACUUUAAAAGGUAAUAAAGAACGAUAAAAUCCGUAUUUAAAGGUCCAAGUAACAAAGAAGUAAACUUUGAAAUGAUCGAGUCACGUGUCGUAUAUUAUUUCGUUUAAACUUAUGACCUCCUUUUUUUUCCUUAUUGCAACUACCUGAAGUAAUGUAUUAGCUUAAAAUGCAGGGUAUUUACUUUUGGAUCAUGUUCACCGAGGUGAACGCUCAAGGUAUAUACACAGUGAACGUGUAUGCAGCGAUUUGAAAAUCAUCUUUCCUUAAUAGACUACUACUUUUGCAUUGCAUGCUCGGUUUUUAUAUAAAAAGAAUCAUACAGUAGAAUUUUACCGUGACCAUUGUAGAACAGAAGAAAUAAGAAAUAUGUCUUUAUAAGAAAAAUAACGAUUCGGAUUGACAAUGUGAAUCAACAAGUUGUCGUAUGUGUUGAUAGAGUCAUAUUAUAUUCAUUUAUCUAAUUUGUUUAUGUAGUAUGAUCAGAACAAAUGAGUUGCAUACCUUUCUCGUUGAAGAUUUGACACUUGAAAGGAAACACGGAUUUAUAUAAUCUUGGGAAGGUUCUGGACCUUAAUUCAUUAGUUUGGUGAGUUGACAGGACUUUAAGAAAGAGAAUGAACAUGUUUCUAUAAGAUGUGCGAGUUUAAAAACAAGAGUGGAAACAAUUCAUAGAAAGUGGGGUGACUUGGUAUGCUUCCUUAUCGUAGAUUAAGCAUGUUUAAGGGCUCCAUGUCAUAGGUGAAACAGUAAAAGUAGACAAAAUUCAGCACCGACAUAUAAGAUCGGAUUACUUCGCUUUCAGUAUGAACUUCUGCGUCUACAUUAAUCGACUUAAUCGUACAAACUUAAUCAGAAAAGAUGGGCGAAUGAUAACAAAGGGAUAGUCAAACUCAAAGAUUGAAAAUUACCUUACAACGCCAUUGUUAAAAAAUAAAAAGACAAACAGACAAAUAAAAGUACACAAGACACAACUGAGAAACCUAAAAACUAAGCAACACAAACCCUACUAUAUCCUGGGGUGAUCUUAGGUACUCCGAAAGAUUAAGCAAAUCCAGCUACACAUGUGGCAUUCGUCCGUCGUAUUACUUGUGUUAUUCCAAAUCCGGUAAAUGGUUUCAUUCGGUCAGUCACAUUCGUGAAAAUGGAAGGGUAUUGUACAUACGGAACAUAUGUGAUAUCAUCUGUGAAACGGUUAUUCUAUUACCAUAAAGAAAAGAAAGAGGGACAAAAGAUACCAAAGGGACAGUCAAACUCGUAAAUCUAAAACAAACUGACAACGCCAUGGCUAAAAAUGAAAAAGACAAACAGAAAAACAAUAGUACACAUGACACAACAUAGAAAACUAAAGAAUAAACAACACGAACCCCACCAAAAACUAGGGGUGAUCUCAGGUGCUCCGGAAAGGUAAGCAGAUCCUGCUCCUCAUGCGGCACCCGUCGUGUUGCUUAUGUGAUUACAAAUCCGGUUAAUAGUCUAAUGCGGUAGGUCAAAUUCAUGAACGGGAUAGGGAUUGUAGUUACGACGUAAGGAACAUAUCCGAUAUAAUUUGUGAAACGGUUAUUCCAUAACGGUCAACCAACUCGUGAUGGCGUCCGUAAAAUUUACGAAGGGAUGAUUUCAACUUCACCAUUUGGAACUCUUGGUUUUAAUAGCUUCCUUGUGAGCAGUAACCCUCUAUCGAGAAAAUCAUGAUAGGAAAUGCAAGCACGGGAAUAUCGUAUCAAUUGGGAGAUAUAUACCCCGUACGCAGGUGCUGCUGGAAUUUUGCUACUUAGAAAUGGGAAGUUCACAAUCGGAAAGCUAAAAUCAUCUCUUUUGUCGUAAAGUUUUGUCUUCAACCGACCCUCAUUGUCAAUUUCUAGAUGUAAGUCAAGAUAUGAAGCCGACUUAACUGUAUCUGUAGUAUCCUUUAUCUCCAAUUCGAUGGGAUAGAUGCGAUUCACAUAGUCACCAAAUUUUGAAUUGUUUAGUGAAAGAACGUCAUCUAUAUAGCGGAAAGUAGAGUUAAAGGAUAUUGCUAACUUCUUAUCUUUCUUCCUAAGAAGUUCCUGCAUGAAGUCAGCCUCAUAAUAAUAAAGAAACAAGUCAGCAAGUAGAAGGGCACAUUUUGUUACCAUUGGGAUGCCGACAGUCUGUUGAAAAACACGUCCGCCGAACGUAACAAAUAUGUUAUCAAUCAAGAAAUCAAGCAUCUUGAUAAUAUCGGUUUCAGAGAAUUGUUUGUUUGAAUCAGAAUGAUUCCUUACAAAGUAGGAUUUAUCCCUCCCUAAGACAAGAUACUUGUAUCUACGUUGGCCAUUUUUUUUAUGAAGCAAAGUAAUACAAACUCUUUUAAUUUGUCUUUUAGUUUGGAAUGUGGAAUACUUGUGUAAAGAGUAGAAAAGUUAAAAUGUUUUAAUACUGGUACAAGAUGAAAGAGAGUUAGAUUGUAUGUACUCUAAAAGAUCUUUGGAAUUUUUAAGUAUCCACAUCUGAUUCACGCCACCUCUAGAAUAGGCAGUUUCACAAUAACUUUGAAGCCCGUCUGAUUGCUGAUAAAAUAGAUGUUAAUAAUUUAGAAAGGGGUUUCGUGGAGCACUUGGAAGACCCAGCAAUAUACAUAACCGUCAACCGAAUAAACCUCAACCAACUCCCGAUGGCGUUCGUAAAAUUUUCGAAUUUCGAAGGGAUGAUUUCAAUUUCAUUACUAUUGGUUUGAUAGCUUCAUUGUGAGCAGCAACCCUCUAUCAAGAAAUUCCUUAUAGAAACUACAAGCCAAGGAAUAUCUAUUGAAUCUAUUGGGAUAAAUAUAAUCCGUAUGCAGGCGAUGUUGCGACGUUGCUACAUAGAAAUGGAAAGUUUACAAUAGGGAAGCUGAAAUCAUUUCUUUUGUCGUAAAAUUUGUUUUCAACCGACACUCAUUGUCAUUUUCUAUGAUAUGAGACAGAGUCAGCUGUAUCUGUAGUAUUCUUUAACGCUAUUUCGAUGGGAUAUAUUUGGUCUACAUAGUCACCAUUUGUUGUAUUGUUUAUUGAGAGAACAUCAUUUAUAUAAUGGAACGUAAAGCUAAUGGACGUUGCUUACUUCUUAUCUUUCUUCCAUAGAAGUUCCUGUAUGGAGUCAGCCUCAGAAUAAUAAAGAAGCAAAGUAGGAUGUUUCUCUUCUCACUACAAGAUAUUCGUAUCUACGUUCGAGAUUUAAAAAAAAACAAUACCAACUCUUUCAAUUUUUAUUUUAGUUUGGAAUGGGUAAUACUUGUGUAAAGUGUAGACAAGUUAAUUGUUUUAAAACUUUGGCAGUUUAAGCGUCUUAAAUUUUAUGAAGUUUUGAAAAGAUCUUUGAUUUUUUUAGUGCCAAUAUCUGAUGCACGUCAACUUUAGAAUAAGCAGUUUCACAAACAAUUUAAAGCCCUGCAUUGAUUGCAGAUAAAAUAGAUGUUUAGAAUUUAGAAAGAGGUUUUGUGGAGCAUCUGGAAGGCCCAUCACUAUACGUUGUUUGUAAGGACACUAAAAUAAGUUAGGUAUCCAAUACAGUUAUGGAAGAUCCAGUUCUUCAGUUUUGAUAUAAACUCAAAAGGAACAUUGAACAGACCUAUGAUGAUCCAGGAUUUCCUCUUCGGUAAGUUUCAUAUGGGAAUAUAUUGAGUUUCCAAGUGAAAAAGUCAAUACCUGAUUCAUGUAACAAGCAAUCUAUGUAGUGAGAUAUACAUACAAAAACAAUGUUGUUUGAGGCUUUAUCUGCGAUUACAACAACUUAUUUUUCAUGGAGAAACUUUCGUUUUUUAUUUCCAUGUUGAAAUAUACAUUCAUGUAACCGGAAGUACGUGAUUUAUUUGAAAAUUUUAAUAAAACAAUUCUCAGAUUGGUUGUUUUCUCUUAUCGUCAAUUUUUUAAUUAAUAUCCCUUCCAAUUAAUGUGAUGGGAGUGUAGGCAAACGGGUAUCUAGAGUACUCAAUGUAAAAACACGUUAUAUUUUUAAUCAAUGUUUUUUCUAGCUUUCUCUGCAUCACAUAAAUUAUUUGUCGAGAUGUAAAUGUGUCAGACAAAAAUAACAUUGUAAGUCGUAUUAAGUUGUUUUUGAAUUGCAAAAUUAAUGUGCUUUUCACUUUUCUUCCGUUGGUUAAAAUAAAGCACCUACCUAUACAAAUUUAUAAGAACAGUAAAUUUACACACACUCUUUAAGUGGUUAUCUUAAUCGGUUUUACCCUAUGUGAUUUUCAUUUUUGGAAAUAAUGGCAACAAUGCGGUCACAAUAGUUUGUAAGUCAGAAGCUGCUGUCUUAUUUUUGAACUUGGUUUACUAUUUUUUAUGUGUUCAGUAUCGUGGUUGUUAAAUUGUAGACAAUGAUAACACAAUCUAUAGAUUAUUGAACUUCUUUUCUAAAAUAAUUAAACAUCUUUAAUUUUUCAGGAAUACAUGACCCAUUAAGUAAUAAUAAAUCUGAUGAUAUAGGUUUCUCUUUGUCAUUAGCCAAGUCUCUGAAACCAUGGCACCUCUUUCUGAUGAAGAAGAAAAUUAUGUCCGUCUAGCAUUGUUAUUGAAAGGAGUGACACCUAGAGCAGUCCGUACCUUAUUUUGACAGAGAAUUUCCACCUACGUAUCUACCAUCAACACUGAAUACAAACUACAACACUCUUUGGGACUUGAAAUUAAAAAGAAUCAUUAAUCAGGCUCAAUGGAAUCUUUUGAUUCC